rnacentral:rRNA from 1 species
GAUGGACGCUGGCGGCGUGCCUAAUACAUGCAAGUCGAGCGAACGGACGAGAAGCUUGCUUCUCUGAUGUUAGCGGCGGACGGGUGAGUAACACGUGGAUAACCUACCUAUAAGACUGGGAUAACUUCGGGAAACCGGAGCUAAUACCGGAUGAUAUUUUGAACCGCAUGGUUCAAAAGUGAAAGACGGUCUUGCUGUCACUUAUAGAUGGAUCCGCGCUGCAUUAGCUAGUUGGUAAGGUAACGGCUUACCAAGGCAACGAUGCAUAGCCGACCUGAGAGGGUGAUCGGCCACACUGGAAGUGAGACACGGUCCAGACUCCGACGGGAGGCAGCAGUAGGGAAUCUUCCGCAAAGGGCGAAAGCCUGACGGAGCAACGCCGCGUGAGUGAUGAAGGUCUUCGGAUCGUAAAACUCUGUUAUUAGGGAAGAACAUAUGUGUAAGUAACUGUGCACAUCUUGACGGUACCUAAUCAGAAAGCCACGGCUAACUACGUG